UACCCGCAGCACAAGUGGUGGUCAUUAUUAUUGGGCCUAAAGCGUCCGUAGCUGGCUUGUUAGAUGCCUGGGUAAAUCGAUGCGCUUAACGCAUCGAAUUCCGGGUAGACCGGCAAGCUCGAGACCGGGAGAGGUGUAGGCUACUCGAGGGGUAGGGGUAAAAGUCCUGUAAUCCUUCGGGGAGGACCAGUGGCGAAGGCGCUACACUAGAACGGCUCUGACAGUGAGGGACGAAGCCCUGGGGCGCAAACCGG
rnacentral:rRNA from 1 species